CAAGGUUUAUUUCGAGUGCCACAUCGACAACUUGAUGAGCACACGACAUUUCGACCCUUGCAAGGGCAUCCUCGGCUACUAUUUUCCUUCCUUUUAGUACUACAAGAGCUCUUGCAUUCACAAUACUCAACCUAUGUCGUGUUCAUGAAAGAUCGAUCAAUUUCCCACAAAAAUAUAUGUAAAUUUAUUCAUGUUUUCUUACCGUA